rnacentral:rRNA from 1 species
GACGAACGCUGGCGGCGUGCUUAACACAUGCAAGUCGAACGGAAAGGCCCCUUUGGGGGUACUCGAGUGGCGAACGGGGGCGUAACACGUGAGUAACCAGCCCUUGCUUUCGUGAUAACUUCAGGAAACUGGGGCUAAUACCGGAUAGGAAUCAUUGCAGCUUGGUGGGGGUUGGAAAGCUUCGGCGGUUUUGGAUGGACUCGCGGCUUAUCAGCUUGUUGGUGGGGUAGUGGCUUACCAAGGCUUUGACGGGUAGCCGGCCUGAGAGGGCGACCGGCCACAUUGGGACUGAGAUACGGCCCAGACUCCUACGGGAGGCAGCAGUGGGGAAUAUUGCACAAUGGGCGGAAGCCUGAUGCAGCAACGCCGCGUGCGGGAUGACGGCCUUCGGGUUGUAAACCGCUUUCAGCAGGGGCGAAGCUUGUGGUGACGGUACCUGCAGAAGAAGCACCGGCUAACUACGUG